UACGUAGGGUGCAAGCGUUAAUCGGAAUUACUGGGCGUAAAGCGUGCGCAGGCGGUUGUGCAAGACAGAUGUGAAAUCCCCGGGCUCAACCUGGGAAUUGCAUUUGUGACUGCACGGCUAGAGUGUGUCAGAGGGGGUAGAAUACUCACGUGUAGCAGUGAAAUGCGUAGAGAUGUGGAGGAAUACCGAUGGCGAAGGCAGCCCCCUGGGUCAAGAUUGACGCUCAUGCACGAAAGCGUGGGGAGCAAACAGG
rnacentral:rRNA from 1 species